UACAGAGGGUGCAAACGUUGCUCGGAAUUACUGGGCGUAAAGCGCGUGUAGGCGGGUUUCCAAGUCAGAUGUGAAAUCCCCGGGCUCAACCCGGGAACUGCAUUUGAAACUGGGAGUCUUGAGUAUCGGAGAGGAAAGCGGAAUUCCUGGUGUAGAGGUGAAAUUCGUAGAUAUCAGGAGGAACACCGGUGGCGAAGGCGGCUUUCUGGACGAUAACUGACGCUGAGACGCGAAAGCGUGGGGAGCAAACAGG
rnacentral:rRNA from 1 species